AACGAACGCUGGCGGCAUGCCUAACACAUGCAAGUCGAACGGCAGCACAGUAAUGGGGGUCUCUGAGGGGCGGCGAGUGGAGUACGGGGGAGGUAUACAGCGCAUGCUACCGGGACGUGGGGGGUAACGUAGGGAAACUUCCGCUAAGACAUCAUUGGUCCUAGGUGGGAGUGCAGGGGAUUGUCGGGCCUUGGGUGGUUGAACGAGCCGACGUCGGGUUGGCUGGUUGGCGGGGUAAAGGGGCACCAAGGCGACGCUGGGUAGCUGGUCUGAGCGGAUGAUCACCCACACUGGAACUGAGACACGGUACAGACUCCUACGGGAGGCCGCAGUGCGGAAUAUUGGACGAUGGGGGCAAGACUGAUCCAGCCAUACCGGGUGGGUGCAGAAGCCCUUCGGGUGGGAAAGCGCUUUUGUUGGGAAAGACAAGCAGCAGGUUAAUCCCAGGCUGUUCUGACGGUACCCAAAGAAUAAGCACCGGCUAACUUCGUG
rnacentral:rRNA from 1 species